rnacentral:lncRNA from 1 species
AGCGAAUACUCACAAUCUGAAAUUUGAAUCCGGCGAGGGAAUACUCACAUUGAAUCCGGUGAGGGAAUACUCACAAUUUGAAAUUUGAAUCCGGUGAGGGAAUACUCACAUUGAAUCCGGUGAGGGAAUACUCACAUUGAAUCCGGUGAGGGAAUACUCACAAUUUGAAAUUUGAAUCCGGUGAGGGAAUACUCACAUUGAAUCCGGUGAGGUAAUACUCACAUUGAAUCCGGUGAGGGAAUAAUCACAUUCGAAGUCUGAAAUCUGAAGAAGUUGAAUUUGAAGCUAUUAGUUAAUUUAGUUUAUUUUCGGGUUGAUUUGUAACAAGCUCAAAGCUUAGUACGCUUUAGCUUGAGAGGUAGUAUUAGAAAUAAAAUAUUUAGUUAUAGUAGUUUGAUUUUCGUUUUUUGUUUGACAAACUCUCGAUGAUUAUCUGAUAAUGCAUCAUGAGUUUGAGGGGAA